rnacentral:SRP_RNA from 1 species
CGGCGGGUCUUAGGCGGGGGGCUAGGGGUCCCCUGAGAGGCAAACGGCCUCGACCGCAAACCCCCUAUACGGCGGGCCGAAAGCCGGGGUGAGGCGCGUAAGGCCGCUGGCCCAGCCAUCCUUAAGCAAUGAAUACCUGUCCCCUGGGGCUAGCGGUCGCGGAGCACCCUUCGUAGGAGGGGUGUAACCGCGUUUGCCGGGCGAACCUGGCCAGGCCCGGGAGGGAGCAACCUAAGCCCGGACGCUUAGUGCUCAGGGGGUGCGGGUAUGAGUGGCGGGCUGGCUUGGGUCUGCGGAUUCUGCGUGUCGAGCCUCGGUGACCCGCCG